UACGAGGGGGGGCAAGCGUUGUUCGGAUUUAUUGGGCGUAAAGGGUGCGUAGGCGGUUUGGCAAGUCUGAUGUGAAAUCUAUGGGCUCAACCCAUAGUCUGCAUCAGAAACUGCCGGGCUUGAGUAUGGGAGAGGUGAGUGGAAUUUCCGGUGUAGCGGUGAAAUGCGUAGAUAUCGGAAAGGAACACCUGUGGCGAAAGCGGCUCACUGGACCAUUACUGACGCUGAUGUACGAAAGCUAGGGGAGCAAACAGG
rnacentral:rRNA from 1 species